rnacentral:rRNA from 1 species
GAUGAACGCUGGCGGCAGGCCUAACACAUGCAAGUCGAACGAGUGGCGGACGGGUGAGUAAUGUCUGGGAAACUGCCCGAUGGAGGGGGAUAACUACUGGAAACGGUAGCUAAUACCGCAUACCAUCGGAUGUGCCCCGAUGGGAUUAGCGAGUAGGUGGGGUAACUGCUCACCUAGGCGACGAUCCAUAGCUGGUCUGAGCGGAUGACCAGCCACACUGGAACUGAGACACGGUCCAGACUCCUACGGGAGGCAGCAGUGGGGAAUAUUGCACAAUGGGCGCAAGCCUGAUGCAGCCAUGCCGCGUGUAUGAAGAAGGCCUUCGGGUUGUAAAGCACUUUCAUCGGGGAGGCGUUACCCGCUGAAGAAGCACCGGCUAACUCCGUGCCAGCAGCCGCGGUAAUAC